rnacentral:rRNA from 1 species
GUGGGAUCGAGCUAACUCCCAACCCCUGUGAACAUACCUUAAUGUUGCCUCGGCGGAUCAGCCCGCGCCCCGUAAAACGGGACGGCCCGCCAGAGGACCCAAACUCUAAUGUUUCUUAUUGUAACUUCUGAGUAAAACAAACAAAUAAAUCAAAACUUUCAACAACGGAUCUCUUGGUUCUGGCAUCGAUGAAGAACGCAGCAAAAUGCGAUAAGUAAUGUGAAUUGCAGAAUUCAGUGAAUCAUCGAAUCUUUGAACGCACAUUGCGCCCGCUGGUAUUCCGGCGGGCAUGCCUGUUCGAGCGUCAUUUCAACCCUCAAGCCCCCGGGUUUGGUGUUGGGGAUCGGCUCUGCCCUUCUGGGCGGUGCCGCCCCCGAAAUACAUUGGCGGUCUCGCUGCAGCCUCCAUUGCGUAGUAGCUAACACCUCGCAACUGGAACGCGGCGCGGCCAUGCCGUAAAACCCCAACUUCUGAAUGUUGACCUCGGAUCAGGUAGGAAUACCCGCUGAACUUAAGCAUAUCAAAGCCCGGGAGGAAA